GAAAAGGUGAAGCAGAAGAACCUUUCCUUAUCCUUUAUGUAAGAAGUGAGAAAGAACUGAGAACGAAGCAUUAACAAUGGUGGCGGCAAUCGCAACCUUCAAGCUUAAGCUCUUUUCUUCAUCAAUGUUGAGUUUCAGUGCUUCCACUUCUUCUUCGUUUCCCUCUCUUCUCCCAAUGCGAAGCCCCUCUUCCAAACCUCGAUUUCUCAAGAUUUACGCCUUAUCCAGCAACGACAUCAAGGUCGGUUCCAACCUUGAAGUCGAUGGUUCUCCUUGGCGUGUCUUAGAGUUUCUUCAUGUUAAACCGGGAAAAGGUGCGGCAUUUGUGAGGACCAAACUAAAGAACUAUAUCACAGGGAAUACGGUUGAGAAAACCUUUAGAGCUGGAAGCACGAUUGAUGAAGCAAAUGUAUUCAAGGAAACAAAGCAGUUCACAUAUAAAGACGGUUCUCAAUUUGUCUUCAUGGACUUGAAUACGUAUGAGGAGUUUCGUCUGGGUGAAUCAGAAAUUGGAGACAGAACAAAGUGGCUAAAAGAGGGAAUGGAUUGCAAUUUGCUGUUAUGGAAUGGAAAGGUAACCUUGUCAUCUCAUUAUUUAUUACUAUCUUUCACAAUCUCAAACUUAUAUUUUUGUAGACCAGUAAUUGAGAAGUUCUAGGACAUGAAGCGGCCUUGGGUUCUUGAAAACUUGAACUAAUAUAGUUUUGAUAUUCAUAAAUAAGAGGUUAUUGAUGUUGAACUCCCUAUCACAGUCAAACUUACUGUAGUUGAUGUGGAUCCAGGACUUAAGGGUGACACAGCCCAAGGUGGAUCAAAGCCAGCCACUCUUGAUACUGGCGCUGUUGUCAAUGUCCCACUCUUUGUAAAUGUAGGUGACGAAAUAUUGGUUGAUUCAAGAACUGGGCAGUACAUGAGUCGUGCCUGAGAAUUCACUUCAAGUUUUGUAGUUGAAGUCCAGAUAAUUACCAUCUCUUUUGUUCUUUUAUUUUUAAGUAAUUUAUCAUUCAUAAAAUGCAGCACGUGUAAUAUUCAGCUUAGCAAACUGGCCUUGAUUUUACAACGUCGAGUUAAAAUUGAGUUGUAAUUAAUGUACGAAACUAAAGCUCUAGCAGCAUUUUUCUUCAGCAUGACACUGUUGCGU